UACGGAGGGAGCUAGCGUUGUUCGGAAUUACUGGGCGUAAAGCGCACGUAGGCGGCUUUUUAAGUCAGGGGUGAAAUCCCGGGGCGUCAACCCCCGGAACUGCCUUUGAAACUGGAGAGCUAGAAUCCUGGAGAGGCGAGUGGAAUUCCGAGUGUAGAGGUGAAAUUCGUAGAUAUUCGGAAGAACACCAGUGGCGAAGGCGACUCGCUGGACAGGUAUUGACGCUGAGGUGCGAAAGCGUGGGGAGCAAACAGG
rnacentral:rRNA from 1 species